CACGUAGGGUGCGAGCGUUGUCCGGAAUUAUUGGGCGUAAAGAGCUCGUAGGCGGUGUGUCGCGUCGGCCGUGAAAACCUGCAGCUUAACUGUGGGCGUGCGGUCGAUACGGGCAUCACUGGAGUUCGGCAGGGGAGACUGGAAUUCCUGGUGUAGCGGUGAAAUGCGCGGAUAUCAGGAGGAACACCGGUGGCGAAGGCGGGUCUCUGGGCCGAUACUGACGCUGAGGAGCGAAAGCGUGGGGAGCGAACAGG
rnacentral:rRNA from 1 species